AGCACAACCCCUAGCCCAGGGGAGUGACCUAUUGACUGGAAAGCAACAGCAAAGCUAACCAGUCUGCUAGCCCAGUUACUUUCUCACAUACACUUCCCUUUUGCAGGAAUUAAAUAUUAGAAACUUCAAGUACAAUCCGAGAAGCCAAAUAUCUGCUUCUCUCCAUUUCCAGUCUAUCAUUUUUAAACAUUCCUUCCUUUCCGAGUAUCUUGUAGUCUUUAUAUCUUUGUCCUAUGUAAGAUAUUUUCCUUUAAAGAACAACAUAUGUACAAACAAAAAAUUUUCAUUCUCUACGAUGACUUGGGAUGGUGACCACGACUGCUGCCGAUCACUGUGCCCAGGUUAACACCCUGUGGCCAGUCGGGACAGAAUGCACAAUCAGCUGAAGCUUCAACUUCUGGGACAUUCAUUAUAUGGCUAAUUCUCUAGUCCAAGAAUCAUGGAAGUAUUCAUGAUUAGUUACUUCAUUUUAUGCUGUGUACUGCCUGUGACAACAACACAAUGCUAUACAACAGACAGGGACUUCAGACUGCCACAGGUCCUGUAUCUGAGACCCAGAUGACAGAAACAUACAGAGGUGGACUCCUCGUGCCACUGCCAAUCGAUUUGCUCUCCACUCACCCAACCACCUGCUUGCAGUUACUGAUCUUCUUCCCUUCAGCAUCCAAAACCCAGCAGCCCCUUGAAAAUGGUGAGAAUAGAGGAUGCUCAUGGACAUCCAAGCAAGAAGCUACAAAGCCCUGACCCAGGGCAGGCUGCCUGGACAUACCACGGCCUGAGCAAGCGGCUUGCAGGCAAAUCACAGCAGAAUCUGACCCAAACACUUUAAAUUUCAUGGCUGUAUUUCAUCCUGUUUAGCUCUAUUAUUCUAAUCUUUUAUGACAGGACUUUGUCAUUUAUUAAGAUAACUUUUUACCGUCCACAGGCAAAGGUAGCAGUAUAAUCAUUUGAUUUUGUCUCUAGCCAAUGAGCAGCUGCUGCCUAAGAAGUUGAAAUGAUAAAGUUGUAAUCAAAGUCUUAUUGUAUAUUACAAGAGUCAUAUAUCAAAGCGAGCUUCUGUGAUUUCCAGUUUGAGUGAUUUACAUGUUUUUUUAUCUUUCUUGAUCAUAAAAGGAACCUCAAAAGACUAAACCUUAUCAAGCUGUUCGCUUUCUUGACAUCCUACUGCAUUGUGUGGUUUCUGUGUAAAUAAAAACAUAAAACCUUGGUAAGAGACCGUAGAUGUCGUCCUGUAAAACCACAUGGAAUAUGUGGAGCAAAAUCCCAGAAACAAUGAGAAAUUAUAAUAUUUAUCAGAGUGGAACUGGUUUUUGACUGAACACAUGGAGAGGCAUAUAAAACUAAAUAAUUUUUUUUUGUCAUUUAAAUAUUAAAUGUCAUUUAUAAUAACAAGUGGGAAAAAAAAAAAGAAAACAAAAGAAAAGAAAAGUAAAUAACUAAACUCCUCAUUCUUUGCCUAUACUUUUAAUGAAAGCAGUAUCUGGUCUUGGUUGUUUUCUUAAGCUGUUUUUAAAAAAUGGAAAUCCUUCCUUCCAACGGGCACAACUGAAAAUGAACUGUUUGAGCUCAAAUGUUUUCUAAGCAUGCCAAGAACAGACCAUAAAGUGAAAAAAAAUGAGCUAAUUAGUUUACUUUUCUCCUAAAAAUAAACUAACAAGAAAAAAUCUUUAAAGAACACCGUUCAGAAAUCCUGAUAUCAAAGGAAGAGACGGCUGAUAAUCUUGGAUUCUUUUGCAAUGAUUUAUUCCAUAUUUUAUUGCACAAUUUAUAAAGAGAAUUGCAGCAAUUUGAAUCCUGACAUUACUGCAGGAGAUUAAAAGAUUUUCUUAUCAGA